UACAGAGACUGCAAGCGUUGUUCGGAUUCACUGGGCGUAAAGGGUGCGUAGGUGGUGAGGUAAGUCGGAUGUGAAAUCUCCGGGCUCAACCCGGAAAUGGCAUUGGAAACUACCUUGCUGGAGGAUUUGAGGGGGGAUUGGAAUACUUGGUGUAGCAGUGAAAUGCGUAGAUAUCAAGUGGAACACCAGUGGCGAAGGCGAAUCCCUGGAAAAUACCUGACACUGAGGCACGAAAGCUAGGGGAGCAAACAGG
rnacentral:rRNA from 1 species